UGAAAAUUCACAGGUCAAUCAUAGCAAUGUUGGAAGUAAUUAUCUUACUUGAUUCCUCAUUGCAUGGUUUGAUGACGUUUGCGACAUCUUCGUCAUUUAUAAUAUCAUUUAUUAUAACCAUGGCUAAUUUAUCUCAAAGUUGCUGCCGCGGGACUUGUCUUGAUUGCGUGAUACAAAUAAUGUGGAUAAUACUACACGGAUCAAGACUAUUUGUGUACUUCCAACCAAUUCACCUAACGUACCUUCAAGUGGAAAAAACCAAGCAUCUUAUCUCAGAAUUUGCGUACCAGACGACCAAUAUGGGCGAAGAGAUUUCUAACAUGGAAAAAAUGAUAAUAAGCACUCUUAGUUUCAUACCGCCGAUAUUUACACCUCUUGGAUUGAUAACCCUUAAAAGAUCACUUAUUAUAACGGUUUUAAGUCUCGCAGUUUCAUAUGGCUUGGCAAUAGUUCAGUGAAAGUUUGCAGUCCCUUUUACCAAUUUAAAACACGAAUGUUGAUGUGUUUCCUAUCUGCACUUAUAUUGUG